UACGUAGGGUGCAAGCGUUGUCCGGAAUUAUUGGGCGUAAAGAGCUCGUAGGCGGUCUGUCGCGUCUGCUGUGAAAACUCGGGGCUUAACCCCGCAGCUGCUUCGGAUACGGGCAGACUAGAGGUAUGCAGGGGAGAACGGAAUUCCUGGUGUAGCGGUGAAAUGCGCAGAUAUCAGGAGGAACACCGGUGGCGAAGGCGGUUCUCUGGGCAUUACCUGACGCUGAGGAGCGAAAGUGUGGGGAGCGAACAGG
rnacentral:rRNA from 1 species